AAUAACUCAUUUUUCAUUUUUCCUUGUCUAACGUUUAACCAUUUGUCUUAUUUAAAAUUUUUUACGAAUUAAUAUUUUUAUUGUUAUUAGAUGAUAAAAUAUAAAUAGUACUUUAAUUUUUUUUAAAUUUUUUAUAAAUUUUUUAAAUAAGACAAAUGGUUAAAUAUUGGAUACGGAUAAACUGAAA
rnacentral:pre_miRNA from 1 species